rnacentral:SRP_RNA from 1 species
GAGGGGUUGGCGCGGGCAAGUGCCUCGCCAACCUGGUCAGAUCCGGAAGGAAGCAGCCACAACGAGCCCCAC